rnacentral:rRNA from 1 species
GACGUAGGGUCCAAGCGUUGUCCGGAUUUACUGGGCGUAAAGAGCGCGUAGGCGGCUCGUUAAGUGUGAAGUGAAAUCUCUAGGGCUCAACCCAGAAACUGCUUUACAUACUGGCGAGCUGGAGUGAUGAAGAGGUUUUGUGGAAUUCCUGGUGUAGCGGUGAAAUGCGUUGAUAUCAGGAGGAACACCCAUGGCGAAGGCAGCAAACUGGUCAUCAACUGACGCUGAGGCGCGAAAGCCAGGGGGAGCGAAACGGGG